AGCGCAGCUGCAAAUUGCACCAAGGACAGCCAAUGACAUGGUGUAUAAAUGAACUUUGUACGAAAGACUGCAACAAAGACUACCAAGAACGUCGUGUCAAGAAGGCUUAUUGUACAGGCAUUUACCCCUUCACAAAAGUCUAUUGUGUCUGCAACGUCUGUGACUAGGAGACAAUGCAACAUCGCAUUACGAGGUUCAUUUACACAAAGGAUUAAUGAAGUUUGGCAAAAAUAAAAUUUGUCUGUGUAAACGUGUGAACAUGAUUACUGCCUAGUUAAUUUGUAACGUGGUUGUUUUUUGCGUAAACACCAUCAUGUUUUAUUCACAGAUUCCGUGUGCCUUCAUCCGCAGGAAAGAAACCUGGA
rnacentral:lncRNA from 1 species